AUUGAACGCUGGCGGCAGGCCUAACACAUGCAAGUCGAACGAGUGGCGGACGGGUGAGUAAUGUCUGGGAAACUGCCUGAUGGAGGGGGAUAACUACUGGAAACGGUAGCUAAUACCGCAUACCAUCAGAUGUGCCCAGAUGGGAUUAGCUUGUUGGUGGGGUAACGGCGCACCAAGGCGACGAUCCAUAGCUGGUCUGAGAGGAUGACCAGCCACAAGGGAACGGAGAAACGGUCCAGACUCCUACGUGAGGGAGAAGUGGAGAAUAUUGCACGAUGGGCGCAAGCCUGAUGCAGCCAUGCCGGGUGUAUGAAAAAGGCCUUCGGGUUGUAAAGGACUUUCAGCGGGGAGGCGUUACCCGCAGAAGAAGCACCGGCUAACUCCGUGCAAGCAGCCGCGGUAAUUC
rnacentral:rRNA from 1 species